UACGUGGGGGGCUAGCGUUGUCCGGAUUUAUUGGGCGUAAAGAGCGUGUAGGCGGCUCGAUAAGUCCGCUGUGAAAGUCCAGGGCUCAACCCUGGGAUGCCGGUGGAUACUGUCGGGCUCGAGUCCGGAAGAGGCGAGUGGAAUUCCUGGUGUAGCGGUGAAAUGCGCAGAUAUCAGGAGGAACACCAAUGGCGAAGGCAGCUCGCUGGGACGUGACUGACGCUGAGACGCGAAAGCGUGGGGAGCAAACAGG
rnacentral:rRNA from 1 species